rnacentral:rRNA from 1 species
GGCAGACGGGUGAGUAACGCGUGGGAACCUUCCCUGUGGUACGGAAUAACUUCGGGAAACCGAAGCUAAUACCGUAUAUCUCCUCCGGGAGAAAGAUUUAUCGCCAUAGGAUGGGCCCGCGUUGGAUUAGCUAGUUGGUAGGGCAAUGGCCUACCAAGGCAACGAUCCAUAGCUGGUCUGAGAGGAUGAUCAGCACACUGGGACUGAGACACGGNCCAGACUCCUACGGGAGGCAGCAGUGGGGAAUAUUGGACAAUGGGCGAAAGCCUGAUCCAGCCAUGCCGCGUGAGUGAAGAAGGCCUUAGGGUUGUAAAGCUCUUUUGGCGGGGACGAUAAUGACGGUACCCGNAGAAUAAGCCCCGGNUAACUUCGUGCCAGNCGC